rnacentral:other from 1 species
CCUAGCUCGGGCCGGGAGACGCCGCGGCCGCAGGAGGCGCGGAGUGAAGAGGAGAGGGGGCCGCAGUGGGCGCUCGGCUCUCGGCAGCCGGGCUCAUGGACGGGUGAGGCGGCCGUGUGCGCAGACAGAGCCCCAGCCGCGCGCGCGCCCCAGCCCCAGGCCCGGGCCCGGGCCUUGGCUCCAGGAGGAAGCGGAGCCCGCCAAGGCGGGGAGGAGAGCGGGCUGCCCCGCAGCCCGAUCCGGAGAGGGAGCACGCGCCGCGCCGGCCCCGGCCGGGCCUCUGAAACCAUGAACUUUUUGCUU